rnacentral:rRNA from 1 species
AGAGUUUGAUCAUGGCUCAGAGUGAACGCUGGCGGCGUGCCUAACACAUGCAAGUCGAGCGAGAAACCACACCUUCGGGUGUGGGAGUAAAGCGGCGCACGGGUGAGUAACGCGUAGGUAACCUGCCCCUAAGUCCGGGAUAACCCUGCGAAAGCGGGGCUAAUACCGGAUACAGCCUCUAAAGCUGUGGCUUUAGAGGUGAAAGGUGACCUCUCCAUGGAAGUUGCCGCUUAGGGAGGGGCCUGCGUCCUAUCAGCUAGUUGGUGGGGUAAUGGCCCACCAAGGCUAUGACGGGUAGCUGGUCUGAGAGGACGGCCAGCCACACUGGCACUGAAACACGGGCCAGACUCCUACGGGAGGCAGCAGUGGGGAAUCUUGGGCAAUGGGCGAAAGCCUGACCCAGCGACGCCGCGUGGGUGAAGAAGGCCUUCGGGUCGUAAAGCCCUGUCAGGUGGGAAGAAAGGCUUGGGGUUAAGAGCCUCAAGCUCUGACGGUACCACCAGAGGAAGCCACGGCUAACUCCGUGCCAGCAGCCGCGGUAAUACGGAGGUGGCAAGCGUUACUCGGAAUCACUGGGCGUAAAGGGCGUGUAGGCGGUAUGGCAAGUCAGC